AUGUUCUUUAUUGUUAGAGGUUUCCUUAUCUUAUUUUAUUUGUCUUGUAUGGCAGGACUGGUGAUACAAAAGAAUCGCCAUUUCCCUAUCCUUUCUUGUUCUUAGGAGAAUGUGUCAGAGCUCUCCCGACGAAAAGGAAAAAGCUUUCUUUCCGCCCCUGCUUUCUUAUCAUUGAAAGGCACGACAGCUUCGGCAAUACUUUCUUGCUAAUGCUCCAAGUACGUGGAGUUUACUUACGCAUGGACAUAGCGCUUGGCCAGUUGAUUUUAGAAAGAUUUUAGAAAAUCUGCACACUUUCUGUUUGCCUUCAGCCAUUUCAGACCUGCAGAGUGUACUCAAAUUUGGUCAUUUGUAUCUUCCUACUCUACAGUUGCGCUCGGAGUUUGAGCUUCGUCUCAAACAAACCUUUUGCAUAUUCAUCUUGAGGAAAUGGUCAUCAAAAUAGCUGAUCGUACUUGGAACAUGCUGGUAAAUGGCUAACACCUUGAUGUCGAAAUACUUAAUUAUUUCUUGAUUACUCUUUAUCUAGAUUCCUUUAUUGCCUCUUGAUUGUCAUGUUACCCAGCAUAGAAUUCCGGGUGGUUGUUUUCCAUGCAGAUGACGACAUUGAGAAAAUCUAUCGUUGGUUUUGAUGUUAGUGUCCCGUGUGUAGGGUUUUUACUCUUGCAUUAGUAACAAUGUCUUGACAGAAGCCACGAAACUUUUUAAGCCAUGCAAGUUAUGUAUAACUUUUGUAUGUUUGCUCCUAGAAUCAUUGCUUUGAUCUGCGAUUGCAAAAAUACUUUUGUUCAUGUAUGUAUUUGUAAUAUAUUAGAGUGACAUGAUCUAUGUAUGUGUCCUAGCCCAUUCCGCAUGGUUCUCUAUGAAAGUGAUGUUAGGACUUCAAAGUUUUCUGUAAUUUGUUCAUAUUAACUAGAUUUGUCAAUAUUUCUAUUCAAAUGUUCUCCCUCUUAUAAAAAACCAAAAAAAAUGCGUGUGGAGGUUCCUUAUAGCCUAUGUAUAGAACAUAAAUUUUAAAUUGUAAGACAAAAAGGCGAAAAACUAAUGUCUUUUUUAAGGGGAAAAAAACAAGUUAGAUAUGGUACAAAUUGCUGAGCUCUGCUAAAUCCAGUUGUCACCAUAUUCUAUUUGUUUGUUCAAUGAUUCAAUGUAGGUAACUCCUGAUUACAACAUGUCGUAUAAGACCAAAAACUAAAAAAUGCACAACCCCAAAAAAAGAGUACGAACAAGAUGCAAGUGUUUUGAUUAAGAUGAUAAGAUGCAAGUAUGCAACCUUGGCUUACUACAAUAUUUGCACCAUAAUGGAACUUACACAGGACUGACAUCUUAAUGUUGACUGUUUACUAUCAGGAUGUCUAUUUCUAUGCUAUAGACACCAGGCACUACUUGCUGCUAAGAAACCACUUCAAUUUGGAGAGCUUUUGACACGUGGACUCGCGCCGGUGCUCUCACUUUAAUUUGAGUUUCUAGGAUUUUAUUCUAAAGUUUCCACUCUACCCUUUCUGGAGCAGGGAACAGCCUAUGUGAUUGAACUAUGGUGGUGAAUGUGAUUAAGUAGCAUCACAAAAUCACUGUUCUGAUAUCUCCUUGCUUUUGUGGUGUAACUACUUAUUUUUUUACACUCUUUUUUUAUUUUGUCCUUUGAUUCAAUUGCUUAAUAGAGUGCAGGUGGUGGUGGGAAUCCACUUUUAAGAGAACAAGCUGCGGAGGAAUCAAAUGAAGCGAUUGUUGCUUCCCUUAGAGGCUCCGAUCGUGUGUUCAUAAGAGCAGGUAUGAGUGGGGGUACAGGCUCUGGUUCUGCUCCAGUUGUGGCCCAGAUUUCAAGAGAAGCAAGUUACUUAACCUUGACUGUUGGUGUGUUCAGCUUUGAAGGAUGUAAAAGACGAUCUAUAUAGUGUUGAAGGUAGAAAAAAUGCACAGCAUCGAAGUCCAUAGUUUUCAGCCGUUGAUAGUUCUACUUGGACCUAUGUGCAAAGCGCUGAGCAUAAUGGUGAACUGAUAGAAAGAACUGGACAAUCUGACUGUGGGGUAAUUUUCUUUCAUAAUAGGAGUAAAAGAUUAUUCACUUUUAAUCUGUUUUGUUCCUAAAUAUAUUGAGCUUCACCAUUGUUUCUUGUCUUGUUCCUUCAUACAUGAAAUUGGUGAGUGCGUAGCCGGGCUUCAGCCAUUUCAUGUGCUACUUUGGGAGAAGUAUGUUUGUUUUGGUCAACACGAUAAUAGCACUCUAUUAGAAAAUACAUAUUAGUGAAGGUGAGAGGUAUGGGCUCCCUAGGCCAAACAUAAAUCCCAAAAGAGGCUCCCUUUUUUAAAAAUAGACCCCGAAAAGAGGUCCCUUGGAUAGAUGGAAGUAUUAAUUUUGAAAGAUGGGUGCGUCGAAAAUCAUGUUGGGUCAGUUAAGUAAUGAUACUAAAUUGUUAAUGAAUCUUUGUUGUAAAGACAGGUGAAGAUAUUCAUUUUGCAUGUCAUAUUAAGGAUUGAUAAUUGUAUUGUCUUACUCAUGAACAGAGCACAUGAAAAUGGAUUCUUUUGGAGCCGUAGACACAUCAAUGCUUCUCAGUUUUGAGUUGUUGGAACCGAUGCUUUAUCAUGUGGACUGUUGUGAUAGUAGUAAAAAUAACUUGUGUGAUAGUUGGAUUUGAACUUCGAAGAGAAAUGGAGUCAGCAAACUGGUAAAAUAACUUGUGUGAUAGUUGGAUUUGAACUUCGAAGAGAAAUGGAGUCAGCAAACUGGUUGUUUGUCAAGUUCCGUUGACAAACAAGAAGUUUACAUUCAAAUAAGUUUGCUCUCCCCCGAACUCCUUGACCAGCUUGCUCAACCCAAGAAAUGCAGCAUCACCCUCAAAGCUUACAUGAACACCUACGCUGGAAUUUCCCAGUGCAAGUUCAAUGUGCAUUCGAUGUCCGCCAUACCACUGCACUGCUGUAGUGCUGUCUAUGGCUACUCCAAGCUGUACUCAUGUUAUGCUCCUUGCCAUAUGUAAAUAGACUAUGCACUGUGUUGUCCAUAUGUAGAUCAAAUAAUGCUUUUGAUACUUUGAUCAAUCUAUCUAAUAUAUCUACAUGUGUAGAUCAACCAAUGCUUUUCGUACUGUCAGCAAUCUAUGUAAUAUAUCUCCCGGCCUAUUUCCAUGCUCUACCUA